UACUCUGGUUUUUCUUCAAAUCAUGUAAAUCUUUAACCAUUUACUA
rnacentral:snRNA from 1 species